UCUUAUUCCGAGCAUUCCAGUAACUUUUUUGUGUAUGUACUUGGCUGUACUAUAAGUAGUUGGUUUGUAUGAGAUGGUUAAAAA
rfam:Macaca mulatta chromosome X, whole genome shotgun sequence.